rnacentral:rRNA from 1 species
UGGGGAAUAUUGCGCAAUGGGCGGAAGCCUGACGCAGCGACGCCGCGUGGGGGAUGACGGCCUUCGGGUUGUAAACCUCUUUCGGCCCCGACGAAGCGUGAGUGACGGUAGGGGUGGAAGAAGCACCGGCCAACUACGUGCCAGCAGCCGCGGUAACACGUAGGGUGCGAGCGUUGUCCGGAAUUAUUGGGCGUAAAGAGCUCGUAGGCGGUGUGUCGCGUCGGCCGUGAAAACCUGCAGCUUAACUGUGGGCUUGCGGUCGAUACGGGCAUCACUGGAGUUCGGCAGGGGAGACUGGAAUUCCUGGUGUAGCGGUGAAAUGCGCAGAUAUCAGGAGGAACACCGGUGGCGAAGGCGGGUCUCUGGGCCGAUACUGACGCUGAGGAGCGAAAGCGUGGGGAGCGAACA